UGCAGAGGCCCGAGGCCUCAAAGGCUGCGUCUCAAACGGAAGGUAACUGCCUCACUCCCUACACCCUUAGCAGUGAGCUCCCUCUGAAAGGUAACUCCCUACACCCUUAGCAGUGAGCUCCCUCUGAAAGGUAACUCCCUACACCCUUAGCAGUGAGCUCCCUCUGAAAGGUAACUCCCUACACCCUUAGCAGUGAGCUCCCUCUGAAAGGUAACUCCCUACACCCUUAGCAGUGAGCUUCCUCUGAAGGUAACUGCCUCGCUCCCUACACCCUUAGCAGUGAGCUCCCUCUGAAAGGUAACUCCC